UGGAGGAAAGCAGGGGAUCGCAAGACCUUGCGCUUUUGGAGUGGCCGAUGCCUGAUUAGCUAGUUGGUGGGGUAAUGGCCUACCAAGGCGACGAUCAGUAGUUGGUCUGAGAGGACGACCAGCCACACUGGGACUGAGACACGGCCCAGACUCCUACGGGAGGCAGCAGUGGGGAAUUUUGGACAAUGGGCGGAAGCCUGAUCCAGCAAUGCCGCGUGAGUGAAGAAGGCCUUCGGGUUGUAAAGCUCUUUCAGUCGAGAAGAAAAGGUUGUGACUAAUAAUCACAACUCAUGACGGUAUCGACAGAAGAAGCACCGGCUAACUACGUGCCAGCAGCCGCGGUAAUACGUAGGGUGCGAGCGUUAAUCGGAAUUACUGGGCGUAAAGGGUGCGCAGGCGGCUUUGUAAGUCAGAUGUGA
rnacentral:rRNA from 1 species